rnacentral:rRNA from 1 species
GAUGAACGCUAGCUACAGGCUUAACACAUGCAAGUCGAGGGGUAACGAGAGGAAAGCUUGCUUUCCUUGUCGACGACCGGCGCACGGGUGAGUAACGCGUAUCCAACCUGCCCCCAACUAGGGAAUAACCUUGCGAAGGUAAGACUAAUACCCUAUAAUUUCCUCAGAUGACAUCUGACGAGGAAUAAAGAUUUAUCGGUUGUGGAUGGGGAUGCGUCUGAUUAGCUUGUUGGCGGGGUAACGGCCCACCAAGGCAACGAUCAGUAGGGGUUCUGAAAGGAAGGUCCCCCACAUUGGAACUGAGACACGGUCCAAACUCCUACGGGAGGCAGCAGUGAGGAAUAUUGGUCAAUGGGCGGAAGCCCGAACCAGCCAAGUAGCGUGCAGGAUGACGGCCCUAUGGGUUGUAAACUGCUUUUAUACAGGAAUAAAGUUAGCCACGUGUGGUUAUUUGUAGGUACUGUAUGAAUAAGGACCGGCUAAUUCCGUGCCAGCCGCCGCCGUAA